CCCUUAGAUGUUCUGGGCCACACGCGCGUUACACUGAUGAAGCCAGCGAGUAUAUCGCCUUCACCGGAAGGUGCGGGUAAUCUUGUGAAACUUCAUCGUGCUGGGGAUAGACCAUUGCCAUUAUUGGUCUUGAACGAGGAAUUCCUAGUAAGCAUGAGUCAUCAACUCGUGCUGAUUACGUCCCUGCCCUUUGUACACACCGCCCGUCGCUACUACCGAUUGAAUGGUUUAGUGAGAUCUCGGGAUUGGAGACGUUGCGCCGCAAGGCACAUCGUCCUCGAGAACUUGAUCAAACUUGAUCAUUUAGAGGAAGUAAAAGUCGUAACA
rnacentral:rRNA from 1 species